rnacentral:rRNA from 1 species
AUUGAACGCUGGCGGAAUGCUUUACACAUGCAAGUCGAACGGCAGCACGGACUUCGGUCUGGUGGCGAGUGGCGAACGGGUGAGUAAUGUAUCGGAACGUGCCCAGUCGUAGGGGAUAACGUAGUGAAAAUUACGCUAAUACCGCAUACGAUCUAUGGAUGAAAGCGGGGGAUCGCAAGACCUCGCGCGAUUGGAGCGGCCGAUAUCAGAUUAGGUAGUUGGUGGGGUAAAGGCCCACCAAGCCAACGAUCUGUAGCUGGUCUGAGAGGACGACCAGCCACACUGGAACUGAGACACGGUCCAUACUCCUACGGGAGGCAGCAGUGGGGAAUUUUGGACAAUGGGCGAAAGCCUGAUCCAGCCAUUCCGCGUGCAGGAUGAAGGCCCUCGGGUUGUAAACUGCUUUUGUACAGAACGAAAAGGUUUCUACUAAUACUAGGAGCUCAUGACGGUACUGUAAGAAUAAGCACCGGCUAACUACGUGCCAGCCGCCGCGGUAA